UCGCAAUCCGCCAACCGGUCAAGCCGUGUCGCGGAAGGUUCUCCAACCAGCCAACGUCCCAGGAUACCUGGGAGCAAGGUGAGCG
rfam:Burkholderiales bacterium RIFCSPHIGHO2_01_FTLL_63_240 rifcsphigho2_01_scaffold_3, whole genome shotgun sequence.